GUGCUCACUUUGGCAGCACAUAUACUAAAAUUUCACCAAUAGAUAGAAGAUUAGCAUGGCUCUUACACAAGGA
rnacentral:snRNA from 1 species